rnacentral:rRNA from 1 species
GACGAACGCUGGCGGCGUGCUUAACACAUGCAAGUCGAACGGAAAGGCCCUGCUCUUGCGUGUUGCUCGAUUGGCGAACGCGUGAGUAACACGUGAGUAUCCUGCCCUUGACUUUGGGAUAUCUCCAGGAAACUGGGGCUAUUACCCGAUAGGAGCUCCUGCUGCACGGUGGUGGUUGGUAAGUUUCGGCCGUUGGGGAUGGACUCGCGGCUUACCAGCUUGUUGGUGGGGUAGUGGAUUACGAAGGCUUUGACGGGUAGCCGGCCUGCGAGGGUUACCGGCCUCCUUGGUACUGAGAUACGCCCCAGACUCCUACGGGCGGCAGCAGUGGGGAAUAUUGCCCACUGGGCGGGAGCCUGAUACAGCAACGCCGCGUGCGGAAUGACGGCCUUCGGGUUGAAAACCGCUUUCGCAUGAGACGAAGCGUGAGUGACGGUAAUGAGUAAAGAAGCACCGGCUAACUACGUG